UGUUUUAAUCGUAGUCUCUGUAUAUUUAUUAAGGUCCCUUCAAGAUCAUGUUCAAUUGUGAAAUUAGACAACUUUUCCUAUGGUAAUGGGUCGAGUGGGAAUGGACACUAAGACAAGAAUUAAAAGGUCGACUCAACGGUUGGAAACCCUUGGAAUCACGUGAACUAUAGCAAGGAAAGCGAUUAUCAAAGUAUAGAAGAAUAUCAUAAUGAUAAUUCAGAUGACUUUAUACAUGUGAGUCCUCACGAUCCAUAUGUUACAUUCGCUGCUAAAGCUGCUCUGGAAGGUUUUAAGGUUCAAAAGGCAAAAGGCAAAAGCUACGUGGCCUUCCCACGAUAUAUUAAUUUGUAUAAAGUUGAUCAUGCCGAACUCCUAGUCGAUGAUGGAUGUGACUACAAAUUAAAUUUUACUGCACUUUUAAAUGUACAGGUAUAUCCUUUUUACAAGUGUAACGCGAUGGUUCACAGAAAUACUGAAAAUGUUUUCUAUGUAAAUAAAGUAGGAUGCAAACGUCAUUUCGUUAUACUCUGAUUUGUGAAUGUCAUUCAAAUUGAACGUGAAUUUUAUGGAAUUAAUACAUUGACUUACAAAUAAAUGGACGACGGGUCUAAUACAAAAACCACGAAAAAAAUGUCCCAAGUCAACCUAUUUAAACGAAGUCACUAGACUUGUAAAGGAAUAUGAAAAAGCUAAAAC